CUCCGGAGGGUGCCCUCUUUCCUCGGCCUUCCUGGGCGUCCCUCUCACGCCGUCGGUCUGUCCCUUCGGAUGUGAAAUCCCCGGGCUCAACCUGGGAACUGCAUCCGAAACUGGCAGGCUAGAGUCUUGUAGAGGGGGGUAGAAUUCCAGGUGUAGCGGUGAAAUGCGUAGAGAUCUGGAGGAAUACCGGUGGCGAAGGCGGCCCCCUGGACAAAGACUGACGCUCAGGUGCGAAAGCGUGGGGAGCAAACAGGAUUAGAUACCCUGGUAGUCCACGCCGUAAACGAUGUCGACUUGGAGGUUGUGCCCUUGAGGCGUGGCUUCCGGAGCUAACGCGUUAAGUCGACCGCCUGGGGAGUACGGCCGCAAGGUUAAA
rnacentral:rRNA from 1 species